AGGGACCCAGGACCACGUCACCCCCGACAGCGACUCUUCAGAUUUGGGAGCCCUGGACCACGUCCCUAUCCACGACACCACCCCGAUAAUCCCCACUCCCCAGGAGGAGGAGGAAGGGGCU